CCUGCGCAUGCCCAGUGAGGCGGGGCCGCGCCAACUCUCUUGACGCACAAACUUCUGGAACCCCUGCCGUCUGCAAAGGUUCCCAUACGUGGUGAGGUCUCAGCCCCCAAAUUUUCUCACAGCCUUCAUAAUAGCACUUGGGCUUCUUUGAGGAACCGAGUUUGAUGGAACUACUCAGCUGGAUUCCUGGACUUCUGCAAAGGCUCUCUCAUCCAUGGGUCUAACUGUUCUCUGGGGGGGCAUGCUGAAGAGCAGGAGCCAGUUAACAAGGCAUUGCAGGUUCUACCACCAGGACCAAGGACAGAAAAGUUGGGAAAAAAAAGGUUCCCAAAGAUAUCCAUCCUCUGUGGCCUCUGCUAGUUCCCUUCAAUCAACACAAGAGUGAAUGUAUCUCAUCACUAUGGCAACCAUCUGCUUUCACUCAUAUUGGAUGAAAUAAGAGAAAAUGGAGGGUCAGACAGUCUCCCUGGACCAAGGGCUCAGAAAUGCUAAGAAACAGACUGAAAACAAAGAAUACCGGUGCCUAAUAUCCUGCUUUGCUUGUAACAUAUACCAGAUGUAGUAGUCCAUUAGUUGCCAAAUAAAAUUAUUCCCAAAU
ensembl:lncRNA